AGCAUGCUCUUUUCUCCCUGCACCCUACAGAGCUGCCUUUGAAGUCACAUGUGCUCCACAGGGCACAGACAGAAACAAAAAUCAGGCACUUAAGUUUUCUGCAGCCGGUUUAGUAUGAGACAGUGUGCUUCCAGCAUUUUAUACAACAGUCAUUUCAGCUCCCUCUCCUUCGAUAUGAUGAGCUUUUGUCUCAUGCCCUGGAAUUUAAAUCCGCGCUUCCCUCUGGUUAUACCUUCUGGUCCCAGGGACAGCCUCAGGACUUGGCCCAGCUGCCUGGAUCUGGUUCAGGCCCUGCCUGGAUGGACCGACUCCAGCUCUCGGCUUGUAGGAACUGGGGCUGACUCUGCAGCCACCUGGCAAGAGCUGGCUGGCUUUGCAGCCUUCUGGACUUCCCUGAACAGCUCACUGGGGUGCUUCAAGCCCCCCUCAUCUCUUCAUUCUGCCUUACCAGGGCUAUGGGAUAAAACACAGCUAUCCAUUCUUCCUGCCUCAACUAAAAGAUACUGAGUUUAGAGAAUGGAAGGAUCCUGAGCCAGUGUUACAUAAGUGAGAGCUAAAAGGAUAACCAAGUAACUGAUGAUGGAAACUUCACCCAUUUAAAAGAAUCCCAGCGAAUAAAAGCAGAAAUUAUCACGGAACUAGAAAAAUU
rnacentral:lncRNA from 1 species